rnacentral:rRNA from 1 species
UACGAGAGGGGGCAACGUUGUUCGGAAUUACUGGGCGUAAAGGGCGCGUAGGCGGCCACCGCAAAGUCGACUGUGAAAAUCUCCGGGCUUAACCCCGGAAAAGGUCAGCCGAUACUGCGGGGGCUAGAGUGCAGAAGGGGGCAACUGGAAUUCUCGGUGUAGCGGUGAAAAUGCGUAGAUAUCGAGAGGAACACCUGCGGCGAAGGCGGGUUGCUGGGCCGAUACUGACGCUGAGGAGCGAAAGCGUGGGGAGCGAACAGG